rnacentral:lncRNA from 1 species
CCUGGCCCUCAGAGCUAUACCACUGAUCGCCGUUGUCAGAGGGAAGACUCUGAAGGAGUUCACAUUGCCUUAGAGGAAGGCUGAGAUCAGUGAACCUGCUGUCAGGCUGGGCAUGGGUCAGACCAUCCAGGCUCAUUAGCAGACCUCGCCAACAGCAGAUGACACUUCAGCUAACCUGAGAGUAGACUGGAGGCAGUGCAGGAGGCACCAGGACCAUGCCAUGUGCUGAUCCAUUUCCCUUUCAGAAGACUUUAACAAGAGCCCCUUGCCUCUGGGUCUAGUGGUCUUCCAACGGACAGCACGUUUGAACUCACAGCGAGUGCUUUGGAGAUGCUGGACUGGCACAUCUGAUUCGCCACAUCUCCAUUUCUGAGUUUUAAUUCAGAUGCAUCUUUAAUAUCCAUGGAGACUGAUGUUCUCAGCACUCAGUAUUAAACAAAUACGGAGUUAAAAUAAAUCUUUGUAUCUCUGUAGACA